CUACGGGUGGCUCCAGUGGGGAAUUUUGCACAAUGGGGGAAACCCUGAUGCAGCGACGCCGCGUGCGGGAAGAAGGCCUUAGGGUUGUAAACCGCUUUCAAUUGUGAAGAAGGGAUGAGAGUUAAUAGCUUUCUGACUUGACGGUAGCAUUAGAAGAAGCACCGGCUAAUUUCGUGCCAGCAGCCGCGGUAAUACGAAAGGUGCAAGCGUUGUUCGGAUUUACUGGGCGUAAAGAGAUCGUAGGUGGUUUAUUAAGUCGGAUGUGAAAUCCCGGAGCUCAACUUCGGAACUGCAUUCGAUACUGGUAGGCUAGAGUUCGGGAGGGGAAAGCGGAAUUCCGUGUGUAGCAGUGGAAUGCGUAGAUAUACGGAGGAACACCUGAGGCGAAGGCGGCUUUCUGGACCGAUACUGACACUGAGGAUCGAAAGCGUGGGUAGCAAACAGGAUUAGAUACCCCCGUAGUC
rnacentral:rRNA from 1 species